AGGGUGGGGCUGGAGAAGAGACCCAAGCCCUUUGCAGGAGUCAGAAGACCAUGAAUGAAUCCCAGGCAAUUGAUUUGAGUUAUUAAUACCAUUAGAGCUUGGUUUUGCUUGGUUCAGGUGGAUUUACAGUCUGGAGGCUGGUGUUAGCUGAAGAGCAAGCGGGGAGACAGAGGCGUUAGCUUCAUGAUAAAAUUGCACCUACACGGCUUCCAGGUCAAGGAGGAAUCCAUUCUCCAGUCUUAAGGUGGACGGCAACAGCACCAAAGACAGGAAUCAACGUGGGAAAGCUGGCCAAAGUGUACAGAACCACACCAGAUAACCACCUUUGCCUUUGGAAUUCAAAAGCCAUUAUUAGCGAACAC